rnacentral:rRNA from 2 species
GGGUUGUGAGGUUAAGCGACUAAGCGUACACGGUGGAUGCCCUGGCAGUCAGAGGCGAUGAAGGGCGUGCUAAUCUGCGAUAAGCGCCGGUAAGGUGAUAUGAACCGUUAUAACCGGCGAUACCCGAAUGGGGAAACCCAGUGUGACUCGUCACACUAUCAUUAACUGAAUCCAUAGGUUAAUGAGGCGAACCGGGGGAACUGAAACAUCUAAGUACCCCGAGGAAAAGAAAUCAACCGAGAUUCCCCCAGUAGCGGCGAGCGAACGGGGAGGAGCCCAGAGCCUGAAUCAGCAUGUGUGUUAGUGGAAGCGUCUGGAAAGGCGCGCGAUACAGGGUGACAGCCCCGUACACAAAAGCGCAUGUGCUGUGAGCUCGAUGAGUAGGGCGGGACACGUGGUAUCCUGUCUGAAUAUGGGGGGACCAUCCUCCAAGGCUAAAUACUCCUGACUGACCGAUAGUGAACCAGUACCGUGAGGGAAAGGCGAAAAGAACCCCGGCGAGGGGAGUGAAAAAGAACCUGAAACCGUGUACGUACAAGCAGUGGGAGCCCCACCACUAAGCCAGUGGUGAACUCCACAUACGCAUCCUUUGCUGAGGAUACGGUUAACGGAGCGAAAGCGACGUUCAACCGCAAAAGAAGCAGAGGGGGCUUAGUGGUGGGGUGACUGCGUACCUUUUGUAUAAUGGGUCAGCGACUUAUAUUCUGUAGCAAGGUUAACCGAAUAGGGGAGCCGGAGGGAAACCGAGUCUUAAUUGGGCGUUAAGUUGCAGGGUAUAGACCCGAAACCCGGUGAUCUAGCCAUGGGCAGGUUGAAGGUUGGGUAACACUAACUGGAGGACCGAACCGACUAAUGUUGAAAAAUUAGCGGAUGACCUGUGGCUGGGGGUGAAAGGCCAAUCAAACCGGGAGAUAGCUGGUUCUCCCCGAAAGCUAUUUAGGUAGCGCCUCGUGAAUUCAUCUCCGGGGGUAGAGCACUGUUUCGGCUAGGGGGCCAUCCCGGCUUACCAACCCGAUGCAAACUGCGAAUACCGGAGAAUGUUAUCACGGGAGACACACGGCGGGUGCUAACGUCCGUCGUGAAGAGGGAAACAACCCAGACCGCCAGCUAAGGUCCCAAAGUCAUGGUUAAGUGGGAAACGAUGUGGGAAGGCCCAGACAGCCAGGAUGUUGGCUUAGAAGCAGCCAUCAUUUAAAGAAAGCGUAAUAGCUCACUGGUCGAGUCGGCCUGCGCGGAAGAUGUAACGGGGCUAAACCAUGCACCGAAGCUGCGGCAGCGACGCUGAUGCGUUGUUGGGUAGGGGAGCGUUCUGUAAGCCUGCGAAGGUGGCCUGUGAGGGUUGCUGGAGGUAUCAGAAGUGCGAAUGCUGACAUAAGUAACGAUAAAGCGGGUGAAAAGCCCGCUCGCCGGAAGACCAAGGGUUCCUGUCCAACGUUAAUCGGGGCAGGGUGAGUCGACCCCUAAGGCGAGGCCGAAAGGCGUAGUCGAUGGGAAACGGGUUAAUAUUCCCGUACUUGGUGUUACUGCGAAGGGGGGACGGAGAAGGCUAUGUUGGCCGGGCGACGGUUGUCCCGGUUUAAGCGUGUAGGUGUGUGUUCCAGGUAAAUCCGGUUCACUUUAACACUGAGGCGUGAUGACGAGGCACUACGGUGCUGAAGCAACAAAUGCCCUGCUUCCAGGAAAAGCCUCUAAGCAUCAGGUAACAUCAAAUCGUACCCCAAACCGACACAGGUGGUCAGGUAGAGAAUACCAAGGCGCUUGAGAGAACUCGGGUGAAGGAACUAGGCAAAAUGGUGCCGUAACUUCGGGAGAAGGCACGCUGACACGUAGGUGAAGUGAUUUACUCAUGGAGCUGAAGUCAGUCGAAGAUACCAGCUGGCUGCAACUGUUUAUUAAAAACACAGCACUGUGCAAACACGAAAGUGGACGUAUACGGUGUGACGCCUGCCCGGUGCCGGAAGGUUAAUUGAUGGGGUCAGCGCAAGCGAAGCUCCUGAUCGAAGCCCCGGUAAACGGCGGCCGUAACUAUAACGGUCCUAAGGUAGCGAAAUUCCUUGUCGGGUAAGUUCCGACCUGCACGAAUGGCGUAAUGAUGGCCAGGCUGUCUCCACCCGAGACUCAGUGAAAUUGAACUCGCUGUGAAGAUGCAGUGUACCCGCGGCAAGACGGAAAGACCCCGUGAACCUUUACUAUAGCUUGACACUGAACAUUGAGCCUUGAUGUGUAGGAUAGGUGGGAGGCUUUGAAGUGUGGACGCCAGUCUGCAUGGAGCCGACCUUGAAAUACCACCCUUUAAUGUUUGAUGUUCUAACGUGGACCCGUGAUCCGGGUUGCGGACAGUGUCUGGUGGGUAGUUUGACUGGGGCGGUCUCCUCCUAAAGAGUAACGGAGGAGCACGAAGGUUGGCUAAUCCUGGUCGGACAUCAGGAGGUUAGUGCAAUGGCAUAAGCCAGCUUGACUGCGAGCGUGACGGCGCGAGCAGGUGCGAAAGCAGGUCAUAGUGAUCCGGUGGUUCUGAAUGGAAGGGCCAUCGCUCAACGGAUAAAAGGUACUCCGGGGAUAACAGGCUGAUACCGCCCAAGAGUUCAUAUCGACGGCGGUGUUUGGCACCUCGAUGUCGGCUCAUCACAUCCUGGGGCUGAAGUAGGUCCCAAGGGUAUGGCUGUUCGCCAUUUAAAGUGGUACGCGAGCUGGGUUUAGAACGUCGUGAGACAGUUCGGUCCCUAUCUGCCGUGGGCGCUGGAGAACUGAGGGGGGCUGCUCCUAGUACGAGAGGACCGGAGUGGACGCAUCACUGGUGUUCGGGUUGUCAUGCCAAUGGCACUGCCCGGUAGCUAAAUGCGGAAGAGAUAAGUGCUGAAAGCAUCUAAGCACGAAACUUGCCCCGAGAUGAGUUCUCCCUGAGACUUUAGGUCUCCUGAAGGAACGUUGAAGACGACGACGUUGAUAGGCCGGGUGUGUAAGCGCAGCGAUGCGUUGAGCUAACCGGUACUAAUGAACCGUGAGGCUUAACCUUACAACGCCGAAG